UGCAAGUCGAGCGGAUGACGGGAGCUUGCUCCUUGAUUCAGCGGCGGACGGGUGAGUAAUGCCUAGGAAUCUGCCUGGUAGUGGGGGACAACGUUUCGAAAGGAACGCUAAUACCGCAUACGUCCUACGGGAGAAAGCAGGGGACCUUCGGGCCUUGCGCUAUCAGAUGAGCCUAGGUCGGAUUAGCUAGUUGGUGGGGUAAUGGCUCACCAAGGCGACGAUCCGUAACUGGUCUGAGAGGAUGAUCAGUCACACUGGAACUGAGACACGGUCCAGACUCCUACGGGAGGCAGCAGUGGGGAAUAUUGGACAAUGGGCGAAAGCCUGAUCCAGCCAUGCCGCGUGUGUGAAGAAGGUCUUCGGAUUGUAAAGCACUUUAAGUUGGGAGGAAGGGCAGUAAGUUAAUACCUUGCUGUUUUGACGUUACCGACAGAAUAAGCACCGGCUAACUCUGUGCCAGCAGCCGCGGUAAUACAGAGGGUGCAAGCGUUAAUCGGAAUUACUGGGCGUAAAGCGCGCGUAGGUGGUUCGUUUAAGUUGGAUGUGAAAGCCCCGGGCUCAACCUGGGAACUGCAUCCCAAAACUGGCGAGCUAGAGUACGGGUANAGGGGUGGUGGGAAUUUUCCUGUGUAGCGGUGAAAAUGCGUAANAUNUAGGAAAGGAA
rnacentral:rRNA from 1 species